UACCAGCACCCCGAGUGGUCGGGACGAUUAUUGGGCCUAAAGCACACGUAGCCGGUUCUACAAGUCUUCCGUUAAAUCCACCUGCUUAACAGAUGGGCUGCGGAGGAUACUAUGGAGCUAGGAGGCGGGAGAGGCAAGCGGUACUUAGUGGGUAGGGGUAAAAUCCGUUGAUCCAUUGAAGACCACCAGUGGCGAAGGCGGCUUGCCAGAACGCACUCGACGGUGAGGGAUGAAAGCUGGGGGAGCAAACCGG
rnacentral:rRNA from 1 species